GAAUGAAAGCAAACGAAACAGAGAAGAACAAGGGAGAAAGAAAGGAAAGAAGAAAGAAAAGGGGAAAUAAGGUUUAUGAAGCUUGGAGUUAAUUGGUAAGCUCAAUCAAGUCCUUUUCUCAUAAUUUUGAUAUUUUAGAAGUCUUAAAAUAAGUUUUUGAUGAAAUUAAGUUGUUAGUUUGGAAGUUCUUAGGUUUUUAAACAAAGUUCAUGUUGAAUAAAAUGAUGAAAUAGGGGUUUAAUUGAACGAAAUUCAAGUUAGAAUAGAUAUAAGGAUUGAAUUGCAAAGUAAGCUAUAAGUUUUGUGUUUUAGGGACUAGAUUGAGGAAAAUUCGGAAUUAAGAAAAUAUGUUGAAAAUUUAAUAGUUAAAUUUGAGUUUAAAUGAAAUUUGAAUAGGAAUAAGGUGUGAAUUGGUGUUAUAAAUUUGGUUAUUAACAUUUUUCAUCAAAACAGUUUUGGGAAGUAGCAAUGGUCUGACUUUGAAAAUUCACUAAAAAUUUUAUAAAUUGAACUAGAGGAUGAACAAAAUAUGAAAUUAAAUCUUAUUGAGUCUAGUUUCUUAUAGUAGAAACAGUGUAAGCAAUUAAUUGAUGAAUCAAGAGAUAUUUGAAAUUUUGUAAUACUGGUUCGGGGUGAUUUCGAGAUGCCCUGUUUUAACUUUGGAAAAUCACUAAAAAUUGUACAAAAAUUAUUAUGGAGUGUAAUUUAUAUAUGUGAACUCCUUAAUGAAUCUAGUUUCAAAAUAAAUAAACAAGAACCUUAUUCGAGUUCUGUACAAUGAGAUAAUUUAGUUUUAGCAGAGAGAGGUCAGAACUGUCAAAUGAAAUAACAGGGGAGUAUUUAACGAAUAAACUGUAUUAAAUGGCUAGACCAAAAAUUCUGGAAAUUUUAUGAUUAGAAGAUAUAUGAGUCUAGUUUUAAGGAAAAUUUACGGAUAUUAAUUUGGAGUUUCGUAGCUCAAGAUAUAAAUAAUUUAGUAACAAUGACUCAAGUAGACAGCUUAAUGGUGAAAUUAUAUAUAUACAUUAAAAAUGGUUAAAUUUGCAUGUUUAGGCUCAUGAAUUAAAUUGAAUCAUGUUGUAUUGAUGAUUAUAAAUUAUUAUUUUCGUAGCCAACAAAGAACCUGAAGCAUCAGCAUCGAAAGGAAAGGAGAAAGUCAUCGAGUACUAAAACGGGAGAAUUACGGUGUGUAUUACUAUAAUUCGAAUUUUAAUUAUUAUUGAUUGCUGAAAUUUUUUUAUUGUUAUGUAUGGUAAGUAAGACUUGAGGUAAGUAUGUGAAAUUGAUAUGAAUAUUGAGUGAAAAUGAAAGUGAUGCAAAUUGAAUCAAAUUGAAUUGAAUAAGUGAAUUAUGGAAGAUGUAAUUAUUUGAAAAGCGUAUUGAUUGAAAAAUGAUUGGUGAUUUGAAUUGUGAAUUGAAAGUGAUAUAGGAUUGAGAAAGUGAAUUGAAUACCCUAUUAACUAGUCGGGCUGAGUCGGAUAUAGUUGGCAUGCCAUAGGAUUGGAAGUGUUCAGGGAUACUUCGACCUCUAGUCGAUGAGACACUGGGUGUCACUAUAUUUCUUCGGAUAGAUUCGAUGAGGUACUGGGUACCAACUUUACUUCGGCUAGGCCGAUGAGACACUGGGUGUCAACUAUUACUUCGAACUAUCCGAUGAGGCACUGGGUGCCAUAUUGGUGUGUUUGGUUGGAUUCGUGUAUCCGCCAAAGUCCGAGUUACGUUAAUAGGGUGAAAAAUUGAAAUGUGAAUUUGAGGCAUUGAAACGAGAAAAAUAAAUUGAAUUACGAAUUGAAAUUGGAAUUGUGAUAAUAAGAGAAAAGUAUGAAAUGUAUAUUCAUAAGUGAUAUAAAUUUAAGUUUGAGAAAAUACAUUGAUUUAUGAAUUAGUACAUAUGACAUUAAUUGUUAGGUAUUUUAAUAUUUAUGUUUUUACUAUUGUUGAUAUAAUUUGAAUUAUGGUAAUAUCACUGAGUAUAUCCAUACUCAGCGUACGGUUGUUUCCGUGCGCAGGUUAGUAGAAGUCAAGUUUCCCGGUUCAGCAUCCAGAACAUUCCCGACUCCAACACAAAUUUGGUGAUGUAUAUUUUUCUUUUGGGUAAAGGUGGCAUGUACAUAGGUGUUAUAUAGUCACUAGAAUAUGCAUAUUACUUUGGGUAGUGAAUGUUGAAUUAUAAGAUUUAGAUGGUUAAAUGAAAUGGUAAGAAAAGUAUAUGAUAUUUUGAUACAUGAACAUUAAGUUGUUAAAUGAAUGAAGUUUUUAAUCAAUUUUGAAUGAUGCUAUGAUAGUUAUUAAGUUGAAAUUAUGUUAAUGAUAUAAAUAUUAGUUAUAUGAAUGUGAAAAAUUGGUGCUGGUUGUUUUAGUUUGAAUUUGCAGAAGGUUUUAGGUAAAAAUAAGCAGACCGAAAUUUUUAUAAUAAAAAAAAAAUUCAGAAUAUUUGAACAAGUUCCGUUCUACUUUUAACACGUGCUUGAACUUUGAGAGUUCAAGAUAGGGACUCAAUUAUUAUAUUAUACCAUAAAAGUUAUAUUAAUUGUAAAUUAUUAGUAAGUUGUCUGAUAUGUCCGGUAAUGCCUCAUAACCUCGUUCCGGUAACGGUUUGGGGUUAGGAGGUGUUACAGAAUAUGAACGGAUUGUGAUGUGUCAUCCAUUGUUAGGUCUAAUCCCAUUGUCAGGAUGAAAUUUCUUUGUGUUUGACUACAUAUAUAUGUCAAUUAUGAUAUGAAAAUUUAAAUUCAAUUAAUUUUAAUUUAAAUUUGAUUCAAUUAUUUUGAUUAUAAAAAGUUAAUAAUUAAAACUUGAAAUUGAUCCUAAAUUGAAAUAGUCUGUUGAUGACAAAUGGAUGGAGGAGGUUGAGAAAUAGCUCACCGAAAGAUUGCGAGCUACACGAGGUCUAAUAUUGGACAGCAAAAGGAGGAGGAGAGUCGAGUUGAGAGAAAAGAGGAAGUUGGUUGUUGGGAUGAUUGUUCUAGCCCCCAUUCACUUUCAAGAGGUUUUUCAGGAAGGGGACGUUUAUGAGUCACGUGUCCUCCUUUAAUUGGUAAAUCGUCACUCAAGUCAAAUAAUGUAAGUCUUUUCUUUAAAUCAGCAACGUGACUUAAUAUGAUGCAGUUGUAAAGUAUGUGAGUGGCUUAACAUGACUUAAUGAACAAAUAACUUGAAAUGAUUCCAACUUGAAUUGACUAAAAUUUAAAACGAACCCUAUCCGAUUAAUCAAAGUGACCCUAAAACUUAAAAUAACUAACUCAAAUCCAAGAUAGAACUCUAACAACCUAAAACAAAAUAACCCAAAAAUUUUAAGAUUCAAACUAGUUUAAUUCAAAUUCAACUUAGUGUGUGGUAAAUGGUGACGAACUAUUGCAUGGCAAUAUUCCAAACAUAAAAAAACAGAUGUAAAUUUGGAGGAAUUGUACCUAAAAAGAUGUUGGAUUUAAUGCACACUUGGAAACCCAGAGUUGAUUUCUUUGUUUAUUUAUUUAUUUACUCGAAGGCAACAACAUUGUUAUAUCAUGGGGGACUUUUUUUUUCUAUUAGGAAAAGAGAAUCAUUUUUGUAUAUACACAAGAAAGGAUGAUAUAGCAACAUUGAGAUAUGCGGAAUAGCUAGUCUCCUCUUUUAAGGAAAUAAAAUAAAGAAAACCAAAAAUUUUAAUUGAGACUGCUGCCCACUUGAAAAAAAGGACAUGACAACAACUCCUUUUGUCUGAUAACAAUAUAUAUAUUUCUCAAAAGAAAAACAAUAUAUAUUUAUAGAAUCUUCUUUCAUAUUAUAAAGUAUAUGGCGAAAAUCUUUCAUGGAAGAUUUUGAGUUUUGAACCCUUUAACUUUACUUUUUUAUUUAAAUUUCAUGGGGCUAAUUAAUUAACAUUUUUUAGAAAGAAUUUUUUCCUAUGAUGAUAUUAUAUUGCAAGUGGUAUUGUCUUAAAAACAACAACUAAUUUGAUGUUCUAAUGUCCAAUAUAUUGAAACAAUAGCAACUUGUCUACAUGAAAUCUUGGUUUUUGUUUCAAUUGUGUUUUGUUUAUGAAAUGAAAAGCACAAAAAAAUAAAAAAAAUAAAGAGAAUACAGUUAGGAUUGAUGCAAGGAUAUGAGACAUGGGUCAUGGAUGUGUCAUAUGGUUUGACAAUGAGCCAUGUAUUGCCAUGUCUUUAGGACAAAAAUCACUGUGAAACAUCAUUUCAUGUGAAGUGAAAAAACAAAAAACAAAACAAAGACAUUUUCUUUCCUUGACCAUAGUGACCUGGGUUUUGGUUAAUGUUUUGAUAUUUGGAUAUUUGAGAGAAAUUUUUGUCAUGUUGUAGGGUGAAGUGGAGAUUAGGAGACAAAAAUUUGAAUAUGAUUUGAAUAAAUAAUCUAAAAUGAUUCAAAUCGAAAAAUUAAUUGGUAAGCAUAAAAUUAACCCAAACUUGAAACGAUUUGACUCGAAACCUCAAUUAAUUAAAUAGAAUUUGAAACAAAUCUAUUUUAAUUUUAUCAUGAAAUGUCAACAACUUGAACCCGCCUAACAAAGGCUGAACUAAAAAGGAGCCAGAGGAGACUUCAAAAUUUUGGAAAAUUGUCAUGAAUCCCUUUAAAAUUUAGUCCUUGUAAAUUUUUUGAAAAAUUUUCUAAUUAAGCUCUACAAAAGUUUAGAAAAUUUUGAUUAAACCCUCUAAAAUUUUCAAAAAUCAAAUUAACUUUCUCUAAUUAAAAUAAUAAUUUGGUUUUUUAAGAAUUCACAUUAAACCCCAAUAUUUUUAAAAAAUAAUUACAACUCUCAAUUUUUUCAAAAAAAUUUAUUUAGGCCCCUAAAACUUAAUGCUACAUUCUAUCACUCUUGCUUAACUUAAUUUAAAAAUUUUCCAAACCUUAAAUAAUCUGAACAAGUAAUUUAAAAUUAUUAAAUUUAAAAAACUUGAUUAAUAAAUUCAAAUGAUCAAAACCUAAAGUGUCGAAAUAAUUUAAAUUUUUUGAAUCAUAAAUUAACCCGGUCUGAAUUGAUGAAAUCCAAAACCAACUUUACCGCUGGUCUAGAAACACAAUGGUAUAAUAAUUUUCCCUCAUGUAAAACAUUGAUUUGACCUAAAGAACACGUCUAGUGAAGAUUGGUUCAAAAUCCAAAACGUACGUAGGACACCCAGUUGGCAAUCGUAACGAAUCAUCCAAGAAAAUAACACUUCAUUUCGACUUUCGAGUUCAACAGUUCACAUUCAAUGGAAUAUUUAGAAAAACACAAAGAUAAAUAUAGCAAUCAAAAGUAAACACGUUUACGUCAAUGACUUAAUUGCAUUUAGGUUGCUUUCGACGACAUUGUAAUCCCCACAUGUUCCCUCCAUGCAAAAAGUAAAUAUAUAUAUGUAUAUAUAAUUUACUCAUCUUAGAUAAAUUUAAUAUUUUUUUAAGUAAAGUUUUGUUAUAAGGAUGAUGAAGGUGAUUAUAUUAAAAAUUGGAUUAUAUUUUAUUAUUUUUUUAAAGAUGAGUAAAUGAGUUUUAAUAUGUUAGAUCAACGAGUAAAUUGAUCAUUUUGUUAAAAAUAAUUUUAUUUAUUUCUAUUUUUAAAAAUUGGUCAUUGUAUAUCAGCAUGAAGUACACAUAACAUGCCACAUUAUUAUUUAAUUAUUUUAUCAGUCCUGUUUGUUUUUUAAUGGUAGAAAUAAAAUUUUUUAAUCGAAAAUAUCAAUUUUCUUUUUAAUCUAAUGUACUAAGACUAAUUUGUUCAUUUUUUAUAUAGAAAAAGUAAAAUGUAAUCUAAUAUCUAGUACAUAAACUUCUAUAAUAUUUUAGUGUAAAUUCUUAUUUGAGUAUUGUAGAUAAAAAAAAACAGUUCAAAAAGAGUUUUUAAUUCUUAUUUAAAAUUUGAUUUGACUAAACUUUAAAUUUAAUCGAAAAUUAAGGUAAAUAAUUAGAGUAAAAAUAAUAUAAAAAUAGGUAAAUUUAGACGUGAAUUUUAAGGCAUAUAUGCUCUUCUUUCUUCCAAAUCUUUUGAUGAAAUUAACCCCAUAUUCGCUGCAGCUGCAGAGAAACAACAGCACCAACAACAACGUAGAUUUCAUGGAAAUUUGUGCAUAUCUACUUAUAUUCUAUGUACCUAUAUAUUUGUAAAUAAUUUAAAAUUUUUAAAGAAAUCGGAUUUUAUUUAAUUUAUUUUAAAAUUUAGUCAAAAUUUAAUGUCA
rnacentral:lncRNA from 1 species